GGUGAACGCUGGCGGCGUGCCUAAUACAUGCAAGUCGAGCGAACGGACGAGAAGCUUGCUUCUCUGAUGUUAGCGGCGGACGGGUGAGUAACACGUGGAUAACCUACCUAUAAGACUGGGAUAACUUCGGGAAACCGGAGCUAAUACCGGAUAAUAUUUUGAACCGCAUGGUUCAAAAGUGAAAGACGGUCUUGCUGUCACUUAUAGAUGGAUCCGCGCUGCAUUAGCUAGUUGGUAAGGUGACGGCUUACCAAGGCAACGAUGCAUAGCCGACCUGAGAGGGUGAUCGGCCACACUGGAACUGAGACACGGUCCAGACUCCUACGGGAGGCAGCAGUAGGGAAUCUUCCGCAAUGGGCGAAAGCCUGACGGAGCAACGCCGCGUGAGUGAUGAAGGUCUUCGGAUCGUAAAACUCUGUUAUUAGGGAAGAACAUAUGUGUAAGUAACUGUGCACAUCUUGACGGUACCUAAUCAGAAAGCCACGGCUAACUACGUGCCAGCAGCCGCGGUAAUACGUAGGUGGCAAGCGUUAUCCGGAAUUAUUGGGCGUAAAGCGCGCGUAGGCGGUUUUUUAAGUCUGAUGUGAAAGCCCACGGCUCAACCGUGGAGGGUCAUUGGAAACUGGAAAACUUGAGUGCAGAAGAGGAAGGUGGAAUUCCAUGUGUAGCGGUGAAAUGCGCAGAGAUAUGGAGGAACACCAGUGGCGAAGGCGACUUUCUGGUCUGUAACUGACGCUGAUGUGCGAAAGCGUGGGGAUCAAACAGGAUUAGAUACCCUGGUAGUCCACGCCGUAAACGAUGAGUGCUAAGUGUUAGGGGGUUUCCGCCCCUUAGUGCUGCAGCUAACGCAUUAAGCACUCCGCCUGGGGAGUACGACCGCAAGGUUGAAACUCAAAGGAAUUGACGGGGACCCGCACAAGCGGUGGAGCAUGUGGUUUAAUUCGAAGCAACGCGAAGAACCUUACCAAAUCCUGACAUCCUUUGACAACUCUAGAGAUAGAGCCUUCCCCUUCGGGGGACAAAGUGACAGGUGGUGCAUGGUUGUCGUCAGCUCGUGUCGUGAGAUGUUGGGUUAAGUCCCGCAACGAGCGCAACCCUUAAGCUUAGUUGCCAUCAUUAAGUUGGGCACUCUAAGUUGACUGCCGGUGACAAACCGGAGGAAGGUGGGGAUGACGUCAAAUCAUCAUGCCCCUUAUGAUUUGGGCUACACACGUGCUACAAUGGACAAUACAAAGGGCAGCGAAACCGCGAGGUCAAGCAAAUCCCAUAAAGUUGUUCUCAGUUCGGAUUGUAGUCUGCAACUCGACUACAUGAAGCUGGAAUCGCUAGUAAUCGUAGAUCAGCAUGCUACGGUGAAUACGUUCCCGGGUCU
rnacentral:rRNA from 1 species